AUGAUAGGUGACUGUCGAUUUCACGAAUGGUGCACGGAGGUACCGGCACGGUUUGGAUCGCGGUUAUUGGAGACCAGUCGGAGAUGGCCGAUGAUUGCAUGGGUGAGCGGCUUCGACUUCGGCGCUACGGAUGGAAGGGGUUGGAGGAGGAGAUUUCGUCGAUUUCAAUUUACUCCAAUCUUCAUCUUUUCCUGCAAAAAAAAAACUUGCUUGAAGAUGUAUCGUUGUAAUGUGAUUAUGUUGCUGCGUGGCGGAUCUACAGGUGAUGUGAGUAGCCGCCCAAUAUCUGGAAUCAAAGAAGACACUGUUUGUGUUGGUUUAGCUGUUAGUAAUUUUUGA